rnacentral:lncRNA from 1 species
GGGUUGAGUCCCGGGUCAGGUUUGAUACUAGUGUACGUUUGACCAGCACAAGGUCCAGGUCCCAGGCUGUUAUAGCAAGCACAAAUAUAGGGCACACACAGAUUCGUACAAUCACACAAAAUAGAGAAGAGAAAGAAAAACAAACACAGGAUUUACGUGGUUCGGCUGAAAAGCCUACGUCCACGGGCAAGACACGAGAGAAAAAUUCCACUAUGAUGAAAAGAGAGAUACAAUCACUCAAGAACUCUCCAAACCCUAGCCGCACUUUGAUUUCCCAAACCUCUCACAAAAACUGCCGAGAUUGGCAGAAAAUACAAUAUUUAUACUGGUCCGCUACCACCACAGACCUCCCAAAAUAUUUCAUUCAGGUCGCAACGCGGGCUUUUCAGAUUGGGUCAUAAUUCGAGCCCAUAAAAGAUAUCCAAAAUUCAAGCCACAUUAACACA